AAAUGCGUAGAGAUCUGGAGGAAUACCGAUGGCGAAGGCAGCCAUCUGGCCUAAUACUGACGCUGAGGUACGAAAGCAUGGGGAGCAAACAGGAUUAGAUACCCUGGUAGUCCAUGCCGUAAACGAUGUCUACUAGCCGUUGGGGCCUUUGAGGCUUUAGUGGCGCAGCUAACGCGAUAAGUAGACCGCCUGGGGAGUACGGUCGCAAGACUAAAACUCAAAUGAAUUGACGGGGGCCCGCACAAGCGGUGGAGCAUGUGGUUUAAUUCGAUGCAACGCGAAGAACCUUACCUGGCCUUGACAUACUAAGAACUUUCCAGAGAUGGAUUGGUGCCUUCGGGAACUUAGAUACAGGUGCUGCAUGGCUGUCGUCAGCUCGUGUCGUGAGAUGUUGGGUUAAGUCCCGCAACGAGCGCAACCCUUUUCCUUAUUUGCCAGCGGGUUAAGCCGGGAACUUUAAGGAUACUGCCAGUGACAAACUGGAGGAAGGCGGGGACGACGUCAAGUCAUCAUGGCCCUUACGGCCAGGGCUACACACGUGCUACAAUGGUCGGUACAAAGGGUUGCUACCUCGCGAGAGGAUGCUAAUCUCAAAAAGCCGAUCGUAGUCCGGAUCGCAGUCUGCAACUCGACUGCGUGAAGUCGGAAUCGCUAGUAAUCGCGGAUCAGAAUGCCGCGGUGAAUACGUUCCCGGGCCUUGUACACACCGCCCGUCACACCAUGGGAGUUUGUUGCACCAGAAGUAGGUAGUCUAACUCGCAAGGAGGAC
rnacentral:rRNA from 1 species